UACGUAGGUGGCAAGCGUUUGUCCGGAAUUAUUGGGCGUAAAGCGCGCGCAGGCGGUCCUUUAAGUCUGAUGUGAAAGCCCACGGCUCAACCGUGGAGGGUCAUUGGAAACUGGGGGACUUGAGUGCAGAAGAGGAAAGCGGAAUUCCACGUGUAGCGGUGAAAUGCGUAGAGAUGUGGAGGAACACCAGUGGCGAAGGCGGCUUUCUGGUCUGUAACUGACGCUGAGGCGCGAAAGCGUUGGGGAGCAAACAGG
rnacentral:rRNA from 1 species